rnacentral:rRNA from 1 species
UUUACAGGAGGCGCCGUAGAAGAGAGAGAGUGAGCCUCUCUCUCUUUCAAGGUAGGAGAGCGGCGAACGGGUGAGUAACACUUGGUCAAUCUGCCCUUAGACUCUGGGACAAGCCCUGGAAACGGGGUCUAAUACCGGAUACGACCUGCCGAGGCAUCUUGGCGGGUGGAAAGCUCCGGCGGUGAAGGAUGAGCCCGCGGCCUAUCAGCUUGUUGGUGAGGUAGUGGCUCACCAAGGCGACGACGGGUAGCCGGCCUGAGAGGGCGACCGGCCACACUGGGACUGAGACACGGCCCAGACUCCUACGGGAGGCAGCAGUGGGGAAUAUUGCACAAUGGGCGAAAGCCUGAUGCAGCGACGCCGCGUGAGGGAUGACGGCCUUCGGGUUGUAAACCUCUUUCAGCAGGGAAGAAGCGCAAGUGACGGUACCUGCAGAAGAAGCGCCGGCUAACUACGUGCCAGCAGCCGCGGUAAUACGUAGGGCGCAAGCCGUUGUCCGGAAUUAUUGGGCGUAAAGAGCUCGUAGGCGGNUUUGUCCGUCGGUUGUGAAAAGCCCCGGGGGCUUUAACCCCCGGGGUUCUUGCACGUCGAUUACCNGGCCAGGCUAAGAAUUGUGGGUGAGGGGGAAAAUGCGGAANUUCCCUUGGNUGUNANCCGGUUNAAANUGCCCCANUUUUUUAAGGNAGGGAACCCCC